rnacentral:rRNA from 1 species
CCUACGGAGGCAGCAGUGAGGAAUAUUGGGCAAUGGCCGGAAGGCUGACCCAGCAAUGCCGCGUGGAGGACGAAGGCUUUCGGGUUGUAAACUCCUUUUCUGGGGGACGAGGAAGGACGGUACCCUAGGAAUAAGUCACGGCUAACUACGUGCCAGCAGCCGCGGUAAUA